AAGAAACAAACCCUCCCUCCAUCUCCCCAGAGCCAACCUCCCAAGUCAGGCGCAGUCAGAGACUCUGGGCAGAGGGUGACUUUCUCAAGUGUGACUCUCACUGAAAUACUGGGACAGGUGAGCUGGCUUCUCAGGGAAGCUCCUGCCCGCUGCCCGCUUCUGAAAGCCGUUGGCUGGGUCUGCAGGUUUCCAGCAGGUCCUGUGGAUUUCUGCCUGGGCAGCUCAGCCGCUUGGGGAUAAGCCCAGAAGCCAUGAGUCUGAAACAUCUUGAUCCAGUGUAAAAUGACCACGAUUUGGGGCUGAUGGGGUCUGGUUUCCCUGCAACAUUAUGGUUUCUUUAAGACCUUGGGAAGGAACCACGGGGGAAUGAAUCUUUGAAAGAAUUAAGCCAGAGGCCCCAAAUGAGCAACCAAGACUGCAUCUGACCCCGACCAUGUAUCAUCCCAACCCUCUCAUCUACUGCACCUGCUGGGACCCCUGGAACUUGGGACCACGGAAGCUAAUCAAGACCCCUCAUCCUCUUCCAAAGACCUCUUCAGGGAAGCUUAAGCAACCUCUUCCUACACCAGUUUCAAGAGAACACAACUACCUCCAGUCCCAACCGAUAAAACCUGUCGUUUCCCCAAAAGACAAAGCCCAGACAGGAAAGCCGGGGGAGAGCAGCAAACUUCCUCCUACCCAGGAAGUGAUUGACGUGUCACCUGGCUAUAAACUUGUUCGAAAUCGAGAGCAGAUUUCAGUCACCUUGGGAGAUGAGAUGUUCAGUAGGAAAAAACACUCAGAAUCGGACAUCUUGAGCAAAAUCAAGUUUUCCAGGACGGAUAUCAUUUCGGACCUUGAGGAGCAGAUCUCCGAGUUGACGGCGGUAAUAGAACAAAUGAACAGAGACCACCAGUCUGCCCAGAAGCUACUCUCCCAGGAGAUGGAUGUCCGCUGCAGUGAAAUGAAACAGAAGUUUGAAAAUGAGAGCAGCGAUCUCAAAAAGGCUCACCGGGUGGAGCUUGAGAAGUUAGAAAGCAGCUACAAAGAUGCACUGAAGGUGGAGAAGGCGCAAGCCCAGGAGAAACUAGAGGAGAUGGGCAAAGAAUAUAAGUAUCUGAAGAAUAUGUUUCACAUGUAUCAGGACAGCAUUUACGAUGAAAUGGAAGAUAAGUGGUCAAAGCGGAAGGCGGAAUGGGAGAAGGAUGAGAAGCUGGAGCGGGAAAAGAUCCUGUUACAACAGAAACAUAAGAUGACCAAGAAGUUUGAGUUAGAGUCGGAAGAAGAAAAGAAGAAAAUGAAUGACUCCUUCAGCGCCCUCUUUGAGAACUUCACUCGUGAGAAAGAGGAUCUCAUGAAACAACUCGAUGAUGCUAACUUGCAAAUACAGGAGUUGAGAAAAUCCAAGGAGAUCCUGGAGGCUGAGUUGCGGGCACAAACUAUCGUCCUGGAGACACUUAACACGAACCUUUACCACUGCCAGCUGGACCUCCAGAGAGAGAUUUAUCUUUUAGAAAGCUAUGGUGGGAAAUCUGGAGAAGCUGCUGCAGACGAAGCUGGUUGAAGCUGAAGAAAAGUAUAAGUACACCAUACAGCUCCUGACCGAAGAAAACACCAUCCUCAGGCAGAAGAUCAAGAAUGAGGACAUUUCUGAAGAAAGAUCUGAGAAGUCAGUCUCUGCUACUCCUAGUGUAUGAGUCGGACUUCCCUGAACCCAGCACCAACAGGAAGUGAGCGUCGUAGAUGAGGAACUGUGCUCCUCGGCUGGAGCAGCCGCCUUGCCGCCACCCACCCUGUGGAGCUGUGGACUCCAGCAAGGUUUUCUGGAGAGAUGCAGAUGGGUUGUUAUGGCUUUAUUUUUUUGUCUUUUCUUUUUGUUUGUUUUUGUUUUUACAAUUUGCUUUCUUCAGAAUGAUUAGAAAUGUUUGAAUUCUUAUCUCAAUUAUAUCGUGACUCUUCUAUGAAAACGGAUGUCCUCUGUCCUGGAUUUGGACCUUCUGUGGGUCGUACGCUAUUUUCUUUUCUGCUUUUUAUGUAUUUUGGAGACUGGUUUGAAGAGACUUCUAAUUAAAUGAUGCAUUUUUGA